rnacentral:rRNA from 1 species
CCUACGGGAGGCAGCAGUGAGGAAUAUUGGUCAAUGGUCGGAAGGCUGAACCAGCCAUGCCGCGUGAAGGUCAGUGCCCUAUGGGCGUUAAACUUCUUUUGUGCGGGAGCAAUAAUGGUCACGUGUGGCCAGACGAGAGUACCGUACGAAUAAGCAUCGGCUAACUCCGUGCCAGCAGCCGCGGUAAUACGGGGGAUGCAAGCGUUAUCCGGAUUUAUUGGGUUUAAAGGGUGCGUAGGCUGUGAGGUAAGUCAGCGGUGAAAUGCCCCCGCUCAACGGGGUGAAGUGCCAUUGAUACUGCCUGGCUGGAAUGCGGAUGCCGUGGGAGGAAUGUGUGGUGUAGCGGUGAAAUGCAUAGAGAUCACACAGAACACCGAUUGCGAAGGCAUCUCACGAAGCCGCGAUUGACGCUGAUGCACGAAAGCGUGGGUAUCAAACAGGAUUGGAUACCCCGGUAGUC